AACGUAGGAGACAAACGUUAUCCGGAGUUACUGGGCGUAAAGAGCUCGUAGGUGGUUUGUCGCGUUGUUCGUGAAAACUCACAACUCAAUUGUGGGCGUGCGGGCGAUACGGGCAGACUGGAGUACUGCAGGGGAGACUGGAAUUCCUGGUGUAGCGGUGGAAUGCGCAGAUAUCAGGAGGAACACCGGUGGCGAAGGCGGGUCUCUGGGCAGUAACUGACGCUGAGGAGCGAAAGCAUGGGGAGCGAACAGG
rnacentral:rRNA from 1 species